AUACUGCUCAGUAACACGUGGUUAACCUGCCCUAAGGUGGAGAAUACUCCCGGGAAACUGGGGCUAAUGCUCCAUAGUGGAUAUAUCCUGGAAUGGUAUAUCCUCGAAAGAUCCGUCGCCUUAGGAUGGGACUGCGUCCGAUUAGGUUGUUGGCGGGGUAACGGCCCACCAAGCCUUUUAUCGGUACGGGUUGUGGGAGCAAGAUCCCGGAGAUGGAUUCUGAGACAUGAAUCCAGGCCCUACGGGGCGCAGCAGGCGCGCAAACUUUACAAUGCGAGCAAUCGUGAUAAGGAAACCCUGAGUGCCUGUCGAUGCAGGCUGUUCAUAUAUCUAAAUCAUAUGUGAAGAAAGGGCAGGGCAAGACCGGUGCCAGCCGCCGCGGUAAUACCGGCUGCUCGAGUGAUGGCCACUAUUACUGGGUUUAAAGCGUCCGUAGCUUGACUGUUAGGUCUCUUGGGAAAUCUUCGCGCUCAACGUGAAGGCGUCUAAGAGAUACCGGCAGUCUUGGAACUGGGAGAGGUAAACCGUACUUCGGGGGUAGGAGUGAAAUCUUGUAAUCCUCGAGGGACGACCUAUGGCGAAGGCAGUUUACCAGAACAGCUUCGACAGUGAGGGACGAAAGCUGGGGGAGCAAACGGGAUUAGAUACCCCGGUAGUCCCAGCCGUAAACAAUGUGCGUUAGGUGUGUCGGUAACCACGUGCUACUGAUGCGCCGAAGAGAAAUCGUGAAACGCACCACCUGGGAAGUACGGUCGCAAGGCUGAAACUUAAAGGAAUUGGCGGGGGAGCACCACAACAGGUGGAGCCUGCGGUUUAAUUGGAGUCAACGCCGGG
rnacentral:rRNA from 1 species